ensembl:Mt_tRNA
GUUAGAGUGGCAGAGCCAGGUAAUGUAAAAGACCUAAGACCUUUCAAACAGAAGUUCAAAUCUUCUCUUUAACC